rnacentral:rRNA from 1 species
ACGGGAGGCAGCAGUGGGGAAUAUUGCACAAUGGGGGAAACCCUGAUGCAGCGACGCCGCGUGAGCGAUGAAGUAUUUCGGUAUGUAAAGCUCUAUCAGCAGGGAAGAUAAUGACGGUACCUGACUAAGAAGCUCCGGCUAACUACGUGCCAGCAGCCGCGGUAAUACGUAGGGAGCAAGCGUUAUCCGGAUUUACUGGGUGUAAAGGGUGCGUAGGCGGCCUGGCAAGUUAGAAGUGAAAUUUUGGGGCUCAACCCCAGAGCCGCUUCUAAAACUACCGGGCUAGAGUGCAGGAGAGGAAAGCGGAACUCCACGUGUAGCGGUGAAAUGCGUAGAGAUGUGGAGGAACACCAGUAGCGAAGGCGGCUUUCUGGACUGUAACUGACGCUGAGGCACGAAAGCGUGGGGAGCAAACAGGAUUAGAUACCCUGGUA